rnacentral:rRNA from 1 species
CGAACGCUGGCGGCGUGCCUAACACAUGCAAGUCGAGCGAGAACGCCUCCUUCGGGGGGUUAGUAAAGCGGCGAACGGGUGAGUAACACGUGAGCGAUCUACCCGGCGGCGGGGGAUAACUCAGGGAAACUUGAGCUAAUACCGCAUACAGCACUGGCUUGGAAGCUAGAUGUGAAAGCUGGCCUCUCGAAGAAGCUGGCACCGUCGGAUGAGCUCGCGGCCUAUCAGCUAGUUGGUGGGGUAACGGCCUACCAAGGCGAUGACGGGUAGCUGGCGUGAGAGCGUGGCCAGCCACACUGGGACUGAGACACGGCCCAGACUCCUACGGGAGGCAGCAGUGGGGAAUAUUGCGCAAUGGGCGAAAGCCUGACGCAGCGACGCCGCGUGGGGGAGGAAGGCCUCAGGGUCGUAAACCCCUGUCAGGUGGGACGAACCACGGAUCGGUCAAUACCCGGUCCGCCUGACGGUACCACCAGAGGAAGCUCCGGCUAACUCC